UUGAGAGGGGCAGUUUGGGCACUGGUGCCGCGCUGAGGUUAGCAGUGCUGCUCUCAGUGGAGUCGCACUCCAUGAUGGUGAGGAUCUUGAGGUCACAUGGAGCUGGCGGCAGGUGGAGAGCAGACUCGUUGAAGGAGACUCUGCGGCCUGUCAACCCGGUGGAAACAAACCUCUCUGACUCCAUGUCGUGGCAGCUCGUAGCCGAGAGGGCGUCUGAUUCAUCCAGGCGGAUUGUGAUCUCUGAGUGACACGAUGGAAGGAGAGAGAUGACAAUACACGCCCACCUGGAGUAGCGACGCCCACCCAUGCAGCAGCGGUGGCAGAAGAGCAGCAGGAGAGAGAGGAGGACCAGCGUCCCCCCUGCGAAAACACUCAGCAGCACCAGGAGCAACGCAUAAUUCUCCACCCGGCCUGCCGACACAGGUACAUCCUGCCGGGGAAAAAACAAGACCACUCAUUUUAUUCUGUUCCAGUGCAUUAGUGCUUCCAUUUGGAGUUUUACAGGGAAAAGAUGAAUACAUUCUAUUUUUGUGCUUAGCAUCUACAUGAAUGCAAACACCCACAUACAUUCAUCCUAGA